ensembl:lncRNA
UGGCAAUGCUGGAUCCUUAACCCACUGAGUGAGGCCAGGGAGCAAACCCGUAGCCUCAUGGAUCCUAGUCAGAUCCAUUUCUGCUGCGCCACGAUGGGAACUCCUACAUUUCUUUUGCUAUUGAUAGCAAUACAUGUUUACUCUUUUUCACUUUUUGAGUGCAAACAUUUUCUUUCAGUAACUCACUUAUCCUAGAAAUAUGUAUUGAGCACCUAUUAGCUAAAAUCAUGAGGGACAAUUAUAUGUUAAGUGAGCUAUAGUCUCUGCUUUUGGGGAAUUUAUAGAUGACUAAGAGUCAGAAAAUAUAACUGUUAACUAUACUGCAAGAUAGGAACAGAUGAAGAAGAAAUAGCCUAAAUACUUUGGACAUUCAGAGAUGAGAGAGACACCCCUGGGAAGAAUCUAGGAGAAGGCAGCCUUUCAGCUCAGCCCAGUGGAUCAGAAGGAUUUGAUAAGUGAAAGAGGGCUCUGAGUGAGGACAGCAGGAGCAAAAGCAAGGGGAUGAGGAGGGAAGGAUUGAGCAUGGCCUAGAAAAACAAGUGUCCUGUUAGCCUGGAAAGAAGUAGAAAUUAGAUGAAGGGUUUUGAACUAUAUUCACUAGGCACCAGGGAACCAGGGCAGGUUUGCUUUUCCAGCAGUGCUGGAAUGUAAGUAGAGCUAUGCUUUUGAGCAAUGCCUUUCAGGCCUUAGCAUGCAUUCAGAUCACCAAGGGAUUUUGUUAAAAUGCAGAUUUACACUCAGGAGGUCUAAGCAGGGUCUUGAGAGUCUGCAUUUCUAAGAAACUCCCAGGGGAUGCCCUUGCUGCUGGACUACAGAGCAUGCAUCUAGUAAGGAGGCUUUAGGAAUCUCUUGCAAUGAGAGAUCAGAUGAAUUGGGGUGAAGGAAGGCUGCAGAUUGGGAGACAGGGCUUCUUACAGUGGCCCCACAGGAGGUAGAGUGGGUCUGAACUAGGGCAGAGGACCAUCCGGUGGAAGUGAAAUGUGUAGGGCUUGACAGCUCCCUUAGGUGGAGUGAGGAGAGUGGGUUUGGUCAUGUAUGACUAAGCUCCCCAGGCUGUGGGUACAGGUGCUGUGAGCACGCCCCUCCCCUAACACUUUGGGCCCUAGUCAUUUGAAACCACUUACCGUUCUUUGGAGUUGCCAGUCUGUCUGGGCUUGUGUCAUGUUGCUGAUUCUGAAAGGAAUGCUAGUGUCUCUCUCCAGCCCUUCACCAGACGAACUCCUACAGAACCCAUGGACUCAAGUCAGGUGUUACCUCUUCCUGGAAGUCUUCCUAGUACCCUCACUCCCCUCUCCCUUAGCCUGCAUUAGGUAGCCCUCCUGUGAGCUCCCAUGACAUCUUGUUUGAGGUCUCAUAUGAAAGCACUGGGGUAGUGGGGUGACACCUGUCAGUGACUGUGUGCUUCUUAAGCACAAGAAUUAUCUUUUUCAGCUUUGUGACCCCAGCAUCUCAAUAAGGUAGAGACGCAACAGUGUUGGACAAAUGACUGAAUGAAUCUUGAGGAAGGGCAUAGCUUUACUGGCCUGGUGGCAGUGGCUUUUGUUUUUGUCAUUUGGGGUGAGGACAGAAGUUGUUUCGACCUUGAAUUGAAUUGAGUUUGGUAAUUUUGAGAUGCAGAAUAUCCAGGCGACAAUGGGCAACAAGUAGUUCGACAUUUCAGAAUGCAACUUAGAAGACCUUCGGGUCUGACUGCAAUGACUUGGGAAUCAUAUGCGUGGAGGUGACAGUUAAGAGCACAGAAGAGGAUCAAAUAAAGACGGAGGGAGGGGAGGGACAAAGGGAGAGGGGCAGCCUGCAGAGGAAUAGAGCCGCAAAGAGAAGACCAAGAGCAGACAGGGACAGAUGGAGGUGGAUGGAAGACAGCAACUUCAUGCUUUACUUGUGACACCUUUCUUUUCAUGAUACCCAUGGGGGACACAGGCUUGGGUCCCAUGUCACAGUGUAAGGGCGAUGUUGGUCCUGAAAGACUUCAGGGGCCUGUAGGAGGGAGACCCUGCAGGGAAUGAGGCUCAGAUGUGAGGUCAGGAUCCAAACACCGACUUCACAUCCUGGUUAUACAGGCCUGUUUCAGGCCUUCCUACCCUCCUACCUGGGCAGAAUGUCAUUCAUCAAAAUGUAGGUGAACUUAAAGCUUCGUCCCAACCCCUCUGCCGUUUGCUUUGCAAAUUGCUCGAUGAGAUCAUCUAGUCAACACACACAUACAUGCACACUUUACUAUGGUUUGCCUUCUAUCAGGUAGCCUUGUGUGCAUUUAAGAAUAAGACUUUUCAGGCUAGAAGGUCAUUUUCUCCAAGAAUAACCCCCAAUAUUUCACCAAGUGCUCUGUUCAGAGAGAACUAUCCAAAUGCAGGCUGGUGGGUGCCCUGCAAAUCAGCCUAUGGGUCGGUACCUACAAGGCCUUCAGAAAGAAUGAUCAAAUCCAGGCUUUUUUCUUCUUGUUGCCCAAAGCAGCAUUUUAACAGACUUCUAUUGUAUUUUCUCCAUUCAGUUCGCGUAGAGGGUGACAUUUUGCCCUCAAAUUCAUAUGCAUAGUUGCUCUUAGAGACUUUCAGAGCUGCAUUCCUGACAAAAUCAGACCCUCUGUUUUAUCUGAAACAACCCCCCAAAGAAAAUCAUCAGCUCUGAAUGAACAGAACAAUUCUUUAUAUCCGCGGGAGACAGGCAGACAAAACGCAAUAAAACUGAAGAAAGAAAGAGACAUGGCAAUGAUUUGUUUUUCAUAAUUACUUAUUCAGAGUAGAAAGGAACAGGGGAAGAAGGUUCCUUUUAACAUGUCUUGACGUGACGGAUGAGGUGUGCUCGUCAUGUGGGUGCAGAACAGAUGAAUGCAGGGCAGUCUUGUUAAAGCGAUGUUUCACGUUGGGCGGAGAUGUAUUUCUAUCUGCAGUGCUGGAGAUAAACACCCGGUAUUUUAUUCCGCAUUUUCAUUUCGUUUAAAAUCCCUCGCUGUUCUCUCAGACUGGCAGGUGCUGGGACUCGCCUGCCUCAGACCUUUCUUUUCUAUAUCCCAUCGCAAAAACAGUUCCCCUUGCAAGACACAAAAUAGGAGCACCCUAAAUGCAUGUUUUCCUCCUAACGGUACCCCCAAACUGUGAUAGAUUUGCAAAUCAUACAGCAGCGCAAAAAGACCUACAACGUCUCUGAGUUUAUUUUCCCUUCCCUGUAACUGAGUCACACCGUUUUCUUUGGUGCAAACCUAGUUCUAGCCAGAAAUCAACGGAGAGAAAGAAAAAAGGAAAGUUUGCACUAAAUUGGCUUUGUUUCCUCUUCUGUGCAAAGGGUAAGCAAACUUUUUCUAUCUGAAACACACAGCCUUUUCUCAUGGAAGAGUGGAAUCUGGAAGUUUCUGACUUGAGCUGUAGAAGUAAUAAGUUGGAUCGGUGAUAAAAAAAGAAAGAAGCUAAAUGUAUAGUUUUCUACACUUCUGAUUGAAGGGAGGGUGUUAAUGCAUUCUUUAAUUAUUUUUGAAGGUUAUCAUGAAUCCAAGGAUAAGAAAUUUAGAAAUAGGAAGUACAGGAAAUAUUAAAAUGAGGUUUAUGCCAUCAAUUUUUAAGCCUCCAUGGAACAUGCAUGUGAGGACUUAACUUGUAUCCUAAGCCAUGUAAAUAUAUAAAUAAAUAAUCUGGGAUUUGAAGGUACUCAGGAGAUUAUAAUAUACAUCACUCAUAAGAAAGGAGGCAUUGGCAAAAAUAUUAGCUAUAUAGCAUGUACAUUAUCCUUUUCUUCUGUCCUGAAUACAAUUAUUUACUUAUUCUUUGAAGUUUUUAAAAAAGUUUAUUUUUUUUUCAUUUUGUUCUUGUGAUGAGGGAGUUUGGCACUAACUCAUAAGUGUGCAUUCUAUAAAUGGUUUUUGAAUAAAUAAAGAAGGCAUGGGAUAUGACCCCUACCCUGAAUUAACUCAAUGGCUGAACUCAAGUCUUGUGGUCCCCAGGAAGGGGUGGGACCUUUUGUUUUGAGCAAAGAAUGUGCCAAAACAGGAUAAUCUGGCUCCAUUUUUCUUAGAGCUUCUACAUGAAAAAGGGCUGCUAGCAGCAUCUUUUAACCUGUAAAGACUCAGGAAAAAUAAGCAACUGAAAGCAUCUCAAAUAUUGAACUAUUUCAUACAAACCCGAAUGAACUGGUGAGGGUGGGAAGCCUUCAGCUCUGGAUGCUGGAUUGUGCACCUCUGUGGAAUCUGAGGAGUCCCUGUGGUGUGACGAGGUGUGUGGGAAAUCUAGCGGCAGCCGUUUACUGAGAACCCACCUCACGGCAAGUGCUUGUUUGAGGUGCUUUGCACGUGCGUCUCACCUCACCCUCAAAAUUGUUCUGUGCUGUGGUACUUGCCCAUCACAUAGUUGAGGCUACCUAGGCUCAGACAGGUUAGAUGAUGAAAUCACGUAGCUGGCGGUGAUAACCACUUGGGUUUGGACUCAGCCCUGUCCAACUCCAAAUUCCUAAGUUUGGCCCCUUUCUGCCUCCCAGAUACACUGCUAAUAGCAAUAUGCUGUAUUCAAUUCUUCAGAGUAAUUUUAACUAUGAGCCAGGGGUACGCACAUAUAGCCAGACUGGUCUAGAGCACAGUUUCCCAUUUUCUCUCAUCAAAACCUACCCAAUCCCGUCGCCUGAGGGUCCUAAGAAAUAACAUUCCCUGGAAGAAAUCUGUCUGGCUUCCGUCAAAUCAUGAAGCCUCUGCUACCAAUAACUUAAAAGUUAUAGCUAAUGGUGCUUCUCUGUAAGACAGGACCCUAACACAGCGAUUUGAACAUGCAAACCUUUCUUUCUUUUGGCGGUGACAGAAGUCAUGCAUAUUUUAUGUGAUCCUACUGCAUGUCACCAUGUUGCAUGUGACAGACUGCUCGGAUUGCAGUCCUUCACAUCUAUGUAUACAUGUACCAUUUUUUAAAAAUUAUUUAUUAUUAUUUUUUGUCUUUUUGCCUUUUGAGGGCCGCUCCCUUGGCAUAUGGAGGUUCCCAGGCUAGGGGUCGAAUCGGAGCUGUAGCCGCGGGCCUUCGCCAGAGCCACAGCAAUGCGGGAUCCAAGCCACGUAAAUGUACCAUCACUAGGAGACCAAGUCUUAGCUGGUUUAACGUGACAUGUUCCACAGCUAAUUCAUGGAAGAGACGAGACCAGAACUCACAUCUUUUAACGCCAGGCCCAGCGUUCCUUCCACGAUGCCAGGCUGUCAAAAAUUCCCAGCCUUAUCAUGUGCUUCUCAUCUUUUCCCCUAAAAAUCACAAGACAGCACAAUGUUAUCUGGCCUAUUACUGUAAAUAUUUUAGCAUUUAAAUGAGGGGGAGGAGUAAGAGAGAAAAAAUGUUUCUGUAGAGAUUUUUUGCAGAGGUGGGAAGGUUCUUGGUCUCCAUCCAGAGAUCAUGAGCGUGAGCGUUUAAUGAGACUAUUGUCCACAGGCCUGUGCAGGGUUUAGCAAUGAGGUGAUCGCUGCUUGGCUGUUCUCGGGCUCCCUCAAGGUCUCCAGAGAGAGAACAGGAAGCAGAGUUAGUACUGACAGAAGCUGCCUUCUGGUCCUGGCCUCGGGGGAAGCAGGCCACCUCCCUGAGCCUCAGUGUUACCAUCUUUAAAGUGAAGCUAACAAUGCCUGUUUUGCCCAGCUCACUGAGUUGUUUUCCAGGAUCCCCUAAAGUCAUGCCGUAAAAACUCCUGGAAAACUACUCACGUUUCACCCCGUACAAACGUACGGGAUUCUUUUUAAUGUCAUUAGCGGAUCACAGAGAUUCCACAGCACGGAGAAAACAAGGGAAUUAAAAGAAUGUGAUACACUACAAAUUUGUGAUGAAGCCUUUGCUCUAAAUUACAUUUUUUCCCUUCUUGAAUGAAAAUUGAUUGGAAAUAUUAUUUCCAAUAUUGGAAAAUAAUAUUUAUUCCACAGGUCUUGUUUAAGGAUGCAAUAAAGGAGUUCUUGUUGUGGUUCAUUGGGUUAAGAACCCUCUGUAUUCUCCAUGAGGAUGCAGGUUUGAUUCCUGGCCUUGCUCAGUAGAUAAAGGAUCUGUCAUUGCUGCAAGCUUCGGAGUAGGUCGUAGAUGCGGCUCAGACCUGGUGCUGCUGUGGCUGUGGCAUAGGCUGGCAGCUGCAGCUUUGAUUUAGCCCCUGUCCUGGGAGCUGGAAACAUGCUGCAGCUGCAGCC